GGGCCAGUAGCCUAGUAGGAUAGGGCGUCGGACUUCUAAUCCGAAGAUCCCGGGUUCAAAUCCCGGCUGGUCCG
rfam:Methanobrevibacter sp. 87.7 contig19, whole genome shotgun sequence.